rnacentral:sRNA from 1 species
UAAGACCUAUGCUAGUCAAGUUAAGACCUAUAUCAGUGAAUGUAAGACCCAAG